rnacentral:lncRNA from 1 species
AAUAAACAACCUUAUAUUAGUAAACAACCUUAUAACCUUAACGGCCACCGUUUAACCUUAUAACCUUAUAUUAUUAAACAUCCUUAUAACCUUAAUGACCACCGUUUAACCUUAUAACCAGCGUUAAGUAAACGACCUUAUAUUAGUAAACAACCUUAUAACCUUAGCGACCACCAUUUAACCUUAUAACCUUAUAUUAGUGAACAUCCUUAUAACCUUAACGGCCACCGUUUAACCUUAGAACCUUGUAUUAGUAAACAACCUUAUAACCGUAACGGCCACCGUUUAACCUAAUAACCUUAUAACGUUAUAACCUUAACGGUCACCAUUUAAACUUAUAACCUUAUAACCUUAAAGGCCAAUGUUUAACAGUAUAACCACCGUUAAGUAAACAAACUUAUAUUAGUAAAAAAUCUUAUAACCUUAACGACCACCGUUUAACCUAUAACCUUAUAUUAGUAAACAGUCGUAUAACCUUACCGGCCACCGUUUAACCUUAUAACCUUAGAGACCACCGUUAAACCUUAUAACCACCGUUAAGUAAACAACCUUAUAACCUUAACAGCCACCGCUUAACCUUAUAACCUUAUAUUAGUAAACAAC